UCCCCGCUAGCUCAAUGGAAAGAGUGCCGGCGCUUGCGCCUCGGAUGGUGCGGCCAGGGUGGGUCCGCGUUCGAAUCGCGGGCGGGGAGC
rnacentral:tRNA from 2 species